UACGAAGGGGGCUAGCGUUGUUCGGAUUUACUGGGCGUAAAGCGCACGUAGGCGGACUUUUAAGUCAGGGGUGAAAACUCGAGGCUCAACCUCGAGACGUCGGUUGAAACCGUAUGGCUAGAGUCCGGAAGAGGAGAGUGGAAUUCCCGGUGUAGCGGUGAAAUGCGCAGAUAUCGGGAAGAACACCUAUGGCGAAGGCAGCUCUCUGGGACGGUACUGACGCUGAGACGCGAAAGCGUGGGGAGCGAACAGG
rnacentral:rRNA from 1 species